rnacentral:rRNA from 1 species
CGCAAGCCUGAUGCAGCCAUGCCGCGUGUGUGAAGAAGGCCUUCGGGUUGUUAAAGCACUUUCAGUCGUGAGGAAGGUAGUGUAGUUAAUAGCUGCAUUAUUUGACGUUAGCGACAGAAGAAGCACCGGCUAACUCCGUGCCAGCAGCCGCGGUAAUACGGAGGGUGCGAGCGUUAAUCGGAAUUACUGGGCGUAAAGCGCAUGCAGGUGGUUUGUUAAGUCAGAUGUGAAAGACCCGGGGCUCAACCUCGGAAUAGCAUUUGAAACUAGGCAGACUAGAGUACUGUAGAGGGGGGUAGGAAUUUCAGGUGUAGCGGUGAAAUGCGUAGAGAUCUGAAGGAAUACCGGUGGCGAAGGCGGCCCCCUGGACAGAUACUGACACUCAGAUGCGAAAGCGUGGGGAGCAAACAGGAUUAGAUACCCUGGUAG